GCCUAAGUAAGCCACUAAGACUUUUAAAUCAAAUUAGUAAGCUUAUCUCAAGAAUUCUUAUUUUGCCAAGAGUUGUGUCUCUUUAUUUGUACUGUUUUCAGAAUAUAUGUACAUAAGGUUUCUUGAGCUUUUACUACUCUUGAGAUAUUAAGUUGUAUGAUUGAGACUUGGUUAAACAAGGGAUGUUUAAGACCAUGAAUGCACUAAGAUUGCUAGCUGUCCAUGUAUUACUGAAACUUGAAAAUAUAUUCUGUUUUGAAAGCUUAAGCCAGCCCACUUAACCUUGCUUAACUUCACCCCUUUUUGGUUUAACCAAAGAUAAACUUUAGCAUGAAAAACCCAUUGAGGAAUAAGUGACAAAAGUCAACUCUUCUAUGAGCAUUACCUCUUGUUGGACCUACCUUCCACAUGAUGAUGCAAAACUGUCCAAAUGCCUUCCCUUAUGAAAACUUCAGAUUUAUAGCACCUCUUCAUUUUUGACCUAUGAUUUCCAUCUAUCCCUUAUAUAGAAAACAAUGGCCUUUAAAAGGGACAACAAGCAAGUUAUGUACUUUCAUGAGUUUCUUUAAAUGUUGGAAUGAGGAUAUUAAUGUUUGACUUAGUGCCAUGUAUGUAGCUAAAUGGGAUAAGGAAAACACUUUAAUUGCAAUUUGGAAUUUAAGUGAGCGCGUAGGGGUGUCGGAUAGUAAAGCUUAAAGUGAAAUGAAUAUUAAUAUGUUUAUCCCAUUUCAUUGAAUAGGAGUUUAUUUUCAAGA